CACGUCACGGAAGCAGUGUGUGUGUGUGUGUGUGUGUGUGUGAAGAAGAAAAUGUUAUAUUAUAUCUACGUGUUUAAAAGUUUCCUUCAUUUAAGUCCAAAGAGGCUGGCUGGCUGAUGCUAAGGAAGGAAGAAAGGGGUGGUGUUUAGGGGUCUGGGAUGGAAAGCGAGUGAUGUGUUUUGUAGCCUUCAGAUAAAAAAUAUUAACAAAGUUUACACAGUGGGAAAAUUUUGGUGGUGAGAGAGAAAAUGACUAAAAUAUUACCUCAAAUUUAACCAAACGUGGUGGAGCUUCACACUCCUCAGCUGACCCUAAUCAAACCAAGCCUAACCCAAAGAAGCCUACCCUAACUUGUGUCUGGUGCUUCCUCCUCCCCAAGACUGGCUAUCUCGUGUCUUAAUCCCAAGCUGGCCUAACCAAACUUUACCUAACCUAACCUAAGCAAUUCUAACCUAGCCAAACCUUACCUAAGCAAGCCUAACCUAGCCAAGCCUUACCUAACCUAACCUAACCUAACCUCACCUAACCUAACCUAAAGAAACCUAGCCAAUCCUAACAUUACCUAGCCUAACCAAACCUAACCUAACCUACAUCCUCUUCCCACGGCCCCACUUAACCAAACCUAAUGUAACUUUCAGAGCAACGGCAACCCUCCGAUCCGGCAAGCAAGUUGGCGGCAGCGAUGGCGGUGGCGGCGGCAGUGGUGGUGAGGUGGACGGCAGGGACAGAGGGGCAGUACAGGCUGCGGACAUCAAGGAGAAGAGGAACGCACGGACAAGCAAGGUGUUAUUCGGCAGUCUGAUCCUGGACCUGCUCGGCUUGAAGGUGGUGCUGCCCGUGUCUCCUGCUCUCCUCGACUGUUACUCCAAGCACAACACCAGCGGCUUGUAUUCCUCUCAGCUCUCCUGUGUGGCUUAUUACCAGCAUAUCAUCGGUUUCGCUGCGAGGUUCCAUUCUGUCUUGUUUGGUAAUUAAGUGGGUUUGUUGUGUUUUGUAUUGGUUUAUAUAUUUUUAGCUUGUUUUUAUUAUUAUUUUUUCAAUUUUUUUAUCCUAUUAUCUAUUUAUUUAUUUUUUGUUUGUUUGUUUGUUUACAGGGUGUGUGUGUGUGUUUGUUUGUGUUCCUGCUGUUCAAUAUUGCAGCUUGUUUUCUUUAUUAUUGUUAUUUUGUGUUUUAUUCUAUUUCAGUGUUCUGAGGGAGUCUUCAGGUGUUUUUGGGGUGUUUUGGGGUGUUUUUGGAGUGUUUUGGGGUGUUUUUGGUGUGUUGUGAAGUGUUUUGAUGUGUUUUCGGGUGGUUAAGGGGUGUUUUGAAGUGUUUUGUGGUGUUGUGGAGGUGUUUUGGGAUUUUUGGUGUGUUUUAAAGUGUUUUGGGAUGUUUUUGGAAUGUUUUGAUGUGUUUUGAGAUGUUUAGGAGUAUUUUUGGAGUAUUUUGGUGUGUUUUUGGAGUGUUUUGGGAUGUGUUUGUAGUGUUUUGGGGUGUUUUGGGGUAUUUUGAAGGUGUUUUGGUGUGUUUUUGGAGUGUUUUGGGGUAUUUUGGGAUGUUUUGGUGUGUUUUGGAUUAUUUUGAGAGUGUUUUGGUGUGUUUUUGGAGUGUUUCUGGGUGUUUUGGAGUAUUUUGAGGGUGUUUAAAGGUGUUGUGGUAGUUUAAAAUAUAUUGUUAGUUUACUUUUUUUUAACUUUUUAUUUUCUUAUGCAUUAUUUUAUUUCUUAUUUAUAUUGUGGUGUGUUGUCGGUGUGUCCUAACCUAACCUAACCAGCCUACCCUCUCCUAACCUCUCCUCAACCCACAGGCACUGAUUGGCGUGACAUUCAGCAUAGGCUUCACCGUCGGGCACACUGUGGGGGCUGCGUUCUCCCGCAGGGGAAGUACUGGGUGGUUCGCGGCCUCGGCUGUCUACGCACGCACUCUCACUGUGGCUAACAUAAUAUUCUUUGCUGUCUUCUUCCAGGAAUCGCUGCCUGAGGGCAGAAGGAGGAGGGACAUCGGUGCCAGUUUGACCGAGGCUCGGGAGGUGAUCAAUCCUAGGGCUCUGUUCUCCGUCAGCUGUGUCAAGGGCCUGGGCAGAGAAGCCUGGAGUUAACGCUGAUCUUCGCGACCCACCACAAGCAUAGUUACGACUCGUUGGCGCAGGACCGCAAGUUUUCCUUCCUGGGCCUGGUCAUGGCAAUUACACAGAGAGGGUUUAUGCGAAGUGUUAAGACUGGAACUGAAAAAGCAACUGCCAAUUAGGCACACACCUACAUUGUGAUGCAGCUCCUUGGAGGUGGAGAGCUGGCUGCCUCAGAGGAUCAGGAAACACGAGAGGUUCACAGAGGCUCGCCUCGGGCUUCGGUCGUCGUGAGGAACCUGGUGUCAGCAGUUCACUACGUGCACAGGAAAAGCAUCAGUGUUCACGGAGACCUAAAGCCAGACAGGGGUGAAAAGGGUUGGUGUUGAGGAUAGACAGAAAAGAAAAGAAAAGAAAGGAAAGGUAAAAAAAGGAAGUUUUUUUGCAUUGAUUUUCCAUCUGCUUAUUUUAAAGAAUUUAUUGCACGGAAUAUUAUUGAUCUCCAUCAUUUGUAUGGCCUUUAUAAUAAAAAGUAUGAAUUUA